rnacentral:rRNA from 1 species
GACUCUGAUCAGCCAUUCAGCGUGAAGGAAGAAGGACCUAUGGUUUGUAAACUUCUUUUGUAACAGAGAAAACCCUUUCCUGCGGGAGAGGUUGAUAGUAUGUUAAGAAUAAGCAUCGGCUAACUUCGUGCCAGCAGCCGCGGUAAUACGAAGGAUGCAAGCGUUAUCCGGAUUUAUUGGGUUUAAAGGGAGCGUAGGCGGUCUUAUAAGUCAGUGGUGAAAUCCUAUCGCUUAACGAUAGACGUGCCAUUGAUACUGUAGGACUUGAGUACAGAUGCCGUUGGCGGAAUGUGUCAUGUAGACGGUGAAAUGCAUAGAUAUGACACAGAACACCGAUUGCGAAGGCAGCUGACGAAACUGUAACUGACGCUGAGGCUCGAAAGCGUGGGGAUCAAACAGGAUUAGAUACCCUGGUAGUCCACGCCCUAAACUAUGAUUACUCGUUGUCGGCGAUAUACAGUCGGUAACUAAGCGAAAGCGUUAAGUAAUCCACCUGGGGAGUACGCCCGCAAGGGUGAAACUCAAAGGAAUUGACGGGGGCCCGCACAAGCGGAGGAGCAUGUGGUUUAAUUCGAUGGUACGCGAGGAACCUUACCAGGGCUUGAACAGUUAGNUGACCGUCUCUGAAAGGAGACUUUCCGUAAGGACACCGAAACUAGGUGACUGCAAUGGG